rnacentral:lncRNA from 1 species
CCCAAGAAACGGCAAAAAGACAAAAUAAAUAAAUAAAAAAUAAAAUUAAAAUAAAAUAAAAUAAAAUAAAGUAAUAAAAUAAAAUGAACUUGGGUUUACAAAUAUGCCUUUGGUACAAAUAUAUAAAAAAGGUGAUACCAUCACAAACAAGUCUGGUUAUUCCAAGACUGUGAGAGAACUUCGACACCAGAAAGCCUGACUAUUCGACACACCACAUUAAAAGGGAAGCUUUUGAUAAUUUUAAUAUAUGCACAAAAAGAGCUUGACAUUCAUCACCUAUUCACCUGAAGCAAAAACCAAACCAAACUCCAACGCCUGGAUCAGACUGAGCACCUCGAAGACGCAUCCUUAACGGGCGCAACUUGAGCUCGUCCUUGAGGGUGAGUGGUGCCAGCCGCGCCGGAGGGUCCAGGGCUGGCUGGUGCGGGUGACCCACACGCCUGGCCCCACGCGUGGCAGCGUGGACCCACCAUGUUUCUGGGGGCCAAGGAGCUGAGGGAGGACCUCUGUGCCCCACCACGCUCCCAAGCGGGGGCAUCCGUGAAGCUGCUCCACGAGGGUCAGGUUACAAAGCACCCGAGUCUGUGCUGCGGCUGCAUCUCACGCCUCCGCAGGAGGCGUUCCCAGGAAGACGGAAGGGACGUCUCUACCCACCGGGAAGAGGUACAACUGUACCUAUUUUCAGAGGACACGGCUACGUGCACAACAACCCUAACAAUCUUGGAGUUCCCAUCGAGGCUCGGCAGUAACAAACCCAACUAGUAUCCAUGAGGACAUAGGUUUGAUCCCUGGCCCCGCUCCCUGGGUUAACCAUCUGGUGUUGCCGCGAGCUGUGGUGUAGGUCACAGACGUGGCUUGGAUCCGGCGUUGCUGUGGCUGUGCUGUAGGCCAGUGGCUACAGCUCUGAUUUGACCCCUAUCCUGGGAACUUCCAUAUGCCACAGGUGCGGCUAUAAGAAGACCAAAAAAACCCACAACAAUCUAACAACUCAGAUGGAAUGGACCGGUUCCGCAAAAAGCAUGAGUGAUCACAACUCACUCAAGUGAAAGACUGAAGAGCCUCUGGCCUUUAGGGAAACUGAGCCCCUGAUCUCAGGGGUCCCCCCGUAAGUGUCCUGAAGGUUGCCCGGAGGAUAUUCUGCACAACCUCCUUGAGGAAACGGGGGGAACGUCCAAUUCACUCGCGAACCCACUCAUUACGACCGUGACGCCAAAACUAAGCAGUGAAAAAAGAAGUUAGAGUAACACUCCUCAUGAGCAGAGACGCAGAACGGCCUUGACAAACACGAGCCAACCGAGGGUACAUGCCCUACACGCUAUCCUACCCGUCACCGGGCGGAUCAGCGAAGUGGUGUCACCUCACACGGGCAACAGCGUUCACAUGGACACUGCACGGUAACGCCGUGUUCAGUAACAUCCCACACACGCGUGGCCAAGCAGGGCUUGUUUACGCUCAACGUAUAGUAACAACUGAGACAAAGGGAGCACGACGGACAGAUUGACCCUGAGUGCGCGCAGCUUCCGGGUUCAGACAAGUGUCCCAUGUGGGGGCGGCAGGUCUCGACCCUCCCCCCGACACACCUGAGUCUGUGUCAUUCAAACCGGCCCCUUCCCCUCUCCCUGCCCUGGCAACCAACUCCCAACGGCUGUAGGUACUUCAAGGGAACAGACAGGACCUGGGGGUCUUACGUCACUCAGCAUAAAGCCACGAGCCAUCUAAGCUACACUAGGGGCCAGGAUCUCUCUUUUUUAAGGCUGUGUAGUCACCGUCACGUGCCACGUUCCCUUUUCUCUAUUCGUCCUUUGAUCCGUGGACGCUGCAUUGCUCCCACCUCGUGGCUGUG